rnacentral:rRNA from 1 species
UACGUAGGGACCGAGCGUUGUCCGGAUUCAUUGGGCGUAAAGAGCUCGUAGGCGGCUAUUCAAGUCGAACGUGAAAUCUCGGAGCUCAACUCCGAAACUGCGUUCGAUACUGGGUAGCUAGAGUCUGGUAGGGGGAUCUGGAAUUCCUGGUGUAGCGGUGGAAUGCGCAGAUAUCGGGAGGAACACCAAUGGCGAAGGCAGCUCGCUGGGACGGUACUGACGCUGAGACGCGAAAGCGUGGGGAGCAAACAGGG